AUGCAAUUGGACUCCGGUUCCAGGCCGUCUGGCUCCAGCGUGCUCGCGAGCCUGUGCACUCAGCAGCCACCAGAAGGGCCUUCCUACCACCCCCCUGGAGGGCUGCCCGUGCCCUGGGCCAAGGACCCCUGGGACACUCGCUCCUGUGCCACACGAACCCUCCCCUGGAACUGCUCCUCCCUGGCGGUGAGAAGGCCCAGAGAGAGGAGCUGCAGGAAAAGCCAGGUGCCUUGGGCUCCAACCUCGGCGCGGCCCCUGCUGCCAGGGAGACCCUCUCCUUCUCAGCCAGCUUAUUCUGGUCCCUCCCUCUGGAACACCUUCCCCAGAGCCCGGCCCGGCACCCUGGAGUCCUACCCGCCGAGGAUAGGCCCAUAGGGUCGGACUGUCAGCACCUAACAAAUGUCUGAUGGUUGAACGAAUGGAAUGAAUGGACUCAUCUCAAAUGACAUCUCUUCGGAGGAGCCUGACUGGCAUCCUCCCUCACCAGGGCGCCCCUUGCAGCACGGGCCUUACGGGACUAUAUCAGGCCCACACUGUGCCCAAUGUCGUCAGGCUAGGUGGCACCGCGAGCUCUGGGACUGGCCUGGCUUUGGAUCCCCUUCCCCAGUGCACACUAAGUUCCCCCAGGAAAUGUCACUGGUAUUAAAUGGAAUCCUGCGACCUUGGGGAUGAUCCUCGGUUUCACUGCCUGUGAAAUGGGCUACUACUGGCUCCACUAGCUUCCACCUGUCCUGGCUUCGAGGCCCACCAGCCACACUGCCUGGCUGCAGAACAUAACCACAUUGGGAGACCCUCCUUCAGCCUGGACAAGGACUAGACUCUCUUCCUUGGGUCUGAGGCCACCAGGAUCUGGUUCAGGGCUGAACCCCUCCUGGCCGAGGUGGGAGCUGGACAGGGUUGAAGGUGGGCGCACACAGACUUCUGUCCCGUGGUCAUUUCGGUCGGGCCUCUCUCAAAACUUGAUGACAAGGUGUGAGAUGGAAUUUGGGGACCAAAGGCUCUCAGGGGAAGCUCACCCAUUGGGCAAAAGAAACCCCACCCACUGCUGUCCCUGCUCUGUAUGGGCAUUGUUCCGUUUUCCGUCACCCCCUGCAAACUGGGACCCCGGUCUCCGUUCUCCAACUGCAGGCUCUCCAGAACGGAAUGAGGCCACCCUCAGAAGUUCUGCUGCUCUGCUCAGUGAGGAUCUGGGGACAGUCAGGCCCAUCAGUCAGUGACUCUGGGUCUUCCAGCGGGGGUGGGUACGGAGGGCUGAUGCCAGAGCCCGAGCCAAGUCCCAGGGGACACCCACCUGCAGCACCCACCCGACAGCUGGGGCUCUGGGCACGGAGACGGGAGUCCUGGAGACCAGUGUGGGGCUGGAGGCUGAGCGCCGGGGCUCUCGGAAGGCCACGCUGUCAGGUGGGCCGUGGGGUCGGUGCUCGGCGGCCCACAGGUCCAUGCGGGGCUGGUUGGUCGCGAGAGGACCCCGAAGAGGGCCUCGCCUACCGGCUGGGCCGCCUGUCCUGAGGCCCCGACCAGCCAGUGCCUCCACCACAGCUUGCAGAACCCUGGAGACGGGAGGCAUGUGCUCAGGGGCCUGGUCUGGGGGCUCCUGGCCUGCCCCGGGGUGGGGAUGACACCUGGGCGGCCUGUCCUUUGAGUGGAAGCCCAGCCUGGCUAAGAUUUCCCUGCGGGUGGCACCCUGACCCCUCUCGGGCCCCACUCUGACCC
rnacentral:lncRNA from 1 species